rnacentral:rRNA from 1 species
GUCGAGGGGUAACAUGACGCUUCGGUGUUGAUGACGACCGGCGCACGGGUGCGUAACGCGUAUGCAACCUACCUUAAACAGGAGAAUAGCCCGGAGAAAUUCGGAUUAAUGCUCCAUAGUACAUUAAAGUCGCAUGGCUUAAAUGUUAAAGUUCCGAUGGUUUAAGAUGGGCAUGCGUAAGAUUAGUUAGUUGGUGAGGUAACUGCUCACCAAGACGAUGAUCUUUAGGGGGUCUGAGAGGAUGAUCCCCCACACUGGCACUGAGAUACGGGCCAGACUCCUACGGGAGGCAGCAGUAGGGAAUAUUGGUCAAUGGGGGCAACCCUGAACCAGCCAUGCCGCGUGCAGGAUGACAGCCUUCUGGGUUGUAAACUGCUUUUAUAUGGGAAGAAAAGACCUUGCGAGGUUCUACGACGGUACCAUACGAAUAAGGACCGGCUAACUCCGUGCCAGCAGCCGCGGUAAUACGGAGGGUCCAAGCGUUGUCCGGAAUUAUUGGGUUUAAAGGGUGCGUAGGCGGUUUUGUAAGUCAGAGGUGAAAUCCCACAGCUUAACUGUGGAACUGCCUUUGAUACUGCAGAACUUGAGUACAGUAGAGGUAGGCGGAAUUGAAGGUGUAGCGGUGAAAUGCAUAGAUAUCUUCAAGAACACCGAUUGCGAAGGCAGCUUACUGGACUGUAACUGACGCUGAGGCACGAAAGCAUGGGUAGCGAACAGGAUUAGAUACCCUGGUAGUCCAUGCCGUAAACGAUGUACACUCGGUGUUGGCGAUAUACUGUCAGCGCCUUAGCGAAAGCGUUAAGUGUACCACCUGGGGAGUACGCUGGCAACAGUGAAACUCAAAGGAAUUG